rnacentral:rRNA from 1 species
GACGAACGCUGGCGGCGUGCUUAACACAUGCAAGUCGAACGGAAAGGCCCUGCUUUUGUGGGGUGCUCGAGUGGCGAACGGGUGAGUAACACGUGAGUAACCUGCCCUUGACUUUGGGAUAACUUCAGGAAACUGGGGCUAAUACCGGAUAGGAGCUCCUGCUGCAUGGUGGGGGUUGGAAAGUUUCGGCGGUUGGGGAUGGACUCGCGGCUUAUCAGCUUGUUGGUGGGGUAGUGGCUUACCAAGGCUUUGACGGGUAGCCGGCCUGAGAGGGUGACCGGCCACAUUGGGACUGAGAUACGGCCCAGACUCCUACGGGAGGCAGCAGUGGGGAAUAUUGCACAAUGGGCGGAAGCCUGAUGCAGCAACGCCGCGUGCGGGAUGACGGCCUUCGGGUUGUAAACCGCUUUCGCCUGUGACGAAGCGUGAGUGACGGUAAUGGGUAAAGAAGCACCGGCUAACUACGUGCCAGCAGCCGCGGUGAUACGUAGGGUGCGAGCGUUGUCCGGAUUUAUUGGGCGUAAAGGGCUCGUAGGUGGUUGAUCGCGUCGGAAGUGUAAUCUUGGGGCUUAACCCUGAGCGUGCUUUCGAUACGGGUUGACUUGAGGAAGGUAGGGGAGAAUGGAAUUCCUGGUGGAGCGGUGGAAUGCGCAGAUAUCAGGAGGAACACCAGUGGCGAAGGCGGUUCUCUGGGCCUUUCCUGACGCUGAGGAGCGAAAGCGUGGGGAGCGAACAGGCUUAGAUACCCUGGUAGUCCACGCUGUAAACGGUGGGUACUAGGUGUGGGGUCCAUUCCACGGGUUCCGUGCCGUAGCUAACGCUUUAAGUACCCCGCCUGGGGAGUACGGCCGCAAGGCUAAAACUCAAAGGAAUUGACGGGGGCCCGCACAAGCGGCGGAGCAUGCGGAUUAAUUCGAUGCAACGCGUAGAACCUUACCUGGGUUUGACAUGGAUCGGGAGUGCUCAGAGAUGGGUGUGCCUCUUUUGGGGUCGGUUCACAGGUGGUGCAUGGCUGUCGUCAGCUCGUGUCGUGAGAUGUUGGGUUAAGUCCCGCAACGAGCGCAACCCUUGUUCACUGUUGCCAGCACGUUAUGGUGGGGACUCAGUGGAGACCGCCGGGGUCAACUCGGAGGAAGGUGGGGAUGACGUCAAGUCAUCAUGCCCCUUAUGUCCAGGGCUUCACGCAUGCUACAAUGGCUGGUACAGAGAGUGGCGAGCCUGUGAGGGUGAGCGAAUCUCGGAAAGCCGGUCUCAGUUCGGAUUGGGGUCUGCAACUCGACCUCAUGAAGUCGGAGUCGCUAGUAAUCGCAGAUCAGCAACGCUGCGGUGAAUACGUUCCCGGGGCU